GAUGAACGCUAGCUACAGGCUUAACACAUGCAAGUCGAGGGGAAACGAUGAGAGAGCUUGCUCUCUUAGUCGUCGACCGGCGCACGGGUGAGUAACGCGUAUCCAACCUGCCUCUGACCAAGGGAUAACCCGUCGAAAGUCGGACUAAUACCUUAUGCAGUCGUCGGAAGUCAUCUGAUGACGACGAAAGAUUUCAUCGGUGAGAGAUGGGGAUGCGUCUGAUUAGCUUGUUGGCGGGGUAACGGCCCACCAAGGCGACGAUCAGUAGGGGUUCUGAGAGGAAGGUCCCCCACAUUGGAACUGAGACCCGGUCCAAACUCCUACGGGAGGCAGCAGUGAGGAAUAUUGGUCAAUGGGCGUAAGCCUGAACCAGCCAAGUAGCGUGCAGGAUGACGGCCCUAUGGGUUGUAAACUGCUUUUAUGCGGGGAUAAAGUGAGGGACGUGUCCUUCAUUGCAGGUACCGCAUGAAUAAGGACCGGCUAAUUCCGUG
rnacentral:rRNA from 1 species